GUGCUUAACACAUGCAAGUCGAACGGUGAAGCAGGAGCUUGCUCUUGUGGAUCAGUGGCGAACGGGUGAGUAACACGUGAGCAACCUGCCCCUGACUCUGGGAUAAGCGCUGGAAACGGCGUCUAAUACUGGAUAUGUGACGUGACCGCAUGGUCUGCGUUUGGAAAGAUUUUUCGGUUGGGGAUGGGCUCGCGGCCUAUCAGCUUGUUGGUGAGGUAAUGGCUCACCAAGGCGUCGACGGGUAGCCGGCCUGAGAGGGUGACCGGCCACACUGGGACUGAGACACGGCCCAGACUCCUACGGGAGGCAGCAGUGGGGAAUAUUGCACAAUGGGCGAAAGCCUGAUGCAGCAACGCCGCGUGAGGGAUGACGGCCUUCGGGUUGUAAACCUCUUUUAGCAGGGAAGAAGCGAAAGUGACGGUACCUGCAGAAAAAGCGCCGGCUAACUACGUGCCAGCAGCCGCGGUAAUACGUAGGGCGCAAGCGUUAUCCGGAAUUAUUGGGCGUAAAGAGCUCGUAGGCGGUUUGUCGCGUCUGCUGUGAAAUCCCGAGGCUCAACCUCGGGCCUGCAGUGGGUACGGGCAGACUAGAGUGCGGUAGGGGAGAUUGGAAUUCCUGGUGUAGCGGUGGAAUGCGCAGAUAUCAGGAGGAACACCGAUGGCGAAGGCAGAUCUCUGGGCCGUAACUGACGCUGAGGAGCG
rnacentral:rRNA from 1 species